GACUCAGUGCGCAGGCGCGGGAAAGUUGAACUACUAAAAGUUUGUGUGUAACGUGAGUGCCUUCGGAGGUGGAGGUGGGGGCGGGGACGGCGGCGGCCGCUGGAGGCCGGAACCAGGUGCCUCCAUGGCAGGCUCAGAGGAGCUGGGGCUCCGGGAGGACACGCUGAGGGUUCUAGCUGCCUUCCUUAGGCGGGGUGAGGCUUCUGGGUCCCCCAUCCCAACCCCACCCAGAAGCCCUGCCCAAGAGGAGCCAACAGACUUCCUGAGUCGCCUUCGAAGAUGUCUUCCGUGUCCAUUGAGGCGAGGAGCUGCUCCCUCUGAUUCCCCCAGGCCUUGCUCUCUGCCCCUCCGCCCCUGUUAUGGUUCAGAGCCUGGUCCAGCUACUCCAGACUUCUAUGCCCUGGUGGCCCAGCGGCUGGAACAGCUGGUCCAAGAGCAACUGAGAUCUCCCCCUAGCCCAGAGUUACAGGGUCCGCCAACCACAGAGAAGGAAGUCCUGCUGCGAAAGCUGGUGACCUUGCUGGAAGAAGAGGCAGAGGUCAUCAACCAGAAGCUGACCUCCGACCCAGCCCUGCGCCGCAAGUUGGCCCGCCUGUCUGCAGGCUCUUUCGCCCGCCUAGUGGAGCUCUUCUCUAGCCGGGAGGGCAGCCCUUGCCCGAGCCGCACAAUCCCGUGCCCUGGGCCCCCGCCACCUUCCCCGGAGCCCCUGGCUCGCCUGGCUCUGGCCAUGGAGCUAAGCCGGCGCGUGGCUCGACUUGGGGGCACCCUGGCUGGACUCAGCGUGGAGCACGUGCACAGCUUCGCGCCCUGGAUCCAGGCCCAAGGGGGAUGGAUUUAUCUCCAGUGCUGUCUUAGAAUGGGUUUGGGGUCUGGCAUGUUGGCAGUGUGAUCUUGUCAGCUGUCCCCAUCUGCUUGAGCACCAGUAUGCCCCCUGGAUCAGAUCAAUAACAGGAGGGCAUCCUAGCUGUUUCACCUGUGGACUUGAACUUACCCUUGGACUGAGAUCUUCCUCAAAAGCUGCUACAAGAUUGGACCUCAUGCCCCUACCCUCUUCGUUUGCUUUUUCAAGCUUUCUUCUUCCACUCAGGGCUGUGGGGGUGGUGGCUGCCUUACCUGUUUAUACCAAAAAGAAUUUGUUUGAAAACUUUUCAUAUUAAAAACUUUUAAAAGUA